rnacentral:pre_miRNA from 1 species
UGUAAACAUCCUUGACUGGAAGCUGGUGUUUGGUUCUGGGGCUUUCAGUCGGAUGUUUGCA